UUACUUGCCUUUUCGAUUUCGUUGGGAAUCUAAAUUCCUUUUGCUCUAAUUUCCUCAAUUUUUAGUUUGAUUUUGAUUUAACUGUUUCUUAGGUCGUUAAAACCAACAGGUAACAUUGCGCCGCCGAGUUGUUCGCAAUCGGAGCUGGCAGUUGAAUCAUCAUGAUAGAGUAGAGCCGCUUCCUCCAAACGGGGAGGUUGAUUUCAUUACUAUUUCCGGACCUGCUGCAAAUUCUUUUUUUGCUACACUGCUUACUCUUUCAUCAACAUUGUGGGUUUGAUAUGGAUCCUCGACACAGUACCGAGGCACUGAAACAUUUGGAGAAACAAAAUGAGUUGUUAAUGGAAGCAUAUAAUUCAAUGUCUCAUGAAUUGCAUAAGCUCAAGGUAGAAGAAGAAAUGUUGAUGCGUAAAUUUUAUGAAUUUAGUGCUCCACAUCGAUCAGCUAAAAAGAGAUUGAGUUUUCAAGAAAAUGCUUGUGGGAGAGUUUUGGGCGAUUAUUUGGAUUUAUGAAUUGUUGACGAACAUGUACUAUAUAUUAUACCAUUUUAUGUGUUUAAGAUCUCUUUCUAUCUGCUGGAUCAUUAAUGGACUACAGAAAGUAAAUACUGAAAACGACACAGGAAUGAAGGAAUUAGCGAUGUCACGGAGGGGCAAACUCAAGACUCCACUGCUUUACUUGGUAACGCCACCAGCAAUGAUUCUGUUGGUGCUGAAAAUGAGGAUUCGACGGCCUUAGUCCCGCUAGUAAUGAACAACAAUGAUUAAGGGUGUGCUAAAGUCGAACCAACCCGAAUCGAUCAAUUGUAGGUUCAAGUGGAACCGGACCAAAAAAUCAACCGAGCCGACUAGUUUGGUUGGACUUGUAAUUUUUUUGAUUUCUUAAAAUUCAGCUCGGUUUUGCUUUUUUAAAAGAAAAAAAUUUGGUUCGGUUCAGUUUGAACUGAAUGCACGCCCCCUAACAAUGAUCAUAUUAAUUUUACAUUGAACUUUUUGUUGAUCUUAUAUCCUAAUUUUGCCGUUAUGUAUAGGUUCUUUUGUUUU